GGUCUAUCUGAGCUCAGGGCUGGCCCACACAUGGAACAAGCUGAGACAGCCACCUCAGGCAGAAAAAGCCCACAAGGCAUUGUCCCCAUCACCACCAGUGGAGAAGGGGUGCCAGCAGCCCAGACAGUUUCCGCUGAGAUCUUGUGCUCUCCAUGAAGAUCUUGCAAGAGCUCUGCGAGAUAUCACUGGAACUCGCCAUCACUGCUGCCACUUCACGAGUACUGCUGCACAAUGCAGGUAAGGGAAGUUUUGGCGGGGUGGCAGGGCAGCAGGGCAGGGUGGCACAUUCUGCUUCCUGUUGAGUGUGUUCCAUUUGUAAAUUGAGUCCCCCGCUGCUAUGGGAAAGCAUGCCUUGGUUUAAGAACACUUUGGUUUAAGAACAGACUUCCGGAACGGAUUAAGUUCAUAAACCAAGGUACCACUGUAUAUCAAAUAUAAGUGUUUUCUUUUCAGGCUGCAAUAAUAAGACAUUUUCUCAAGGUGAUACAUGCAAACAUAGACAUUAGCAUGCUCAAAUCUGGAUACCACUGCAUGUUUCUUAUUAUUCCUGUGCCUACAGCCUGAUCCAUUGAAGCACAUUCAGUCAUUGAAUACUGCUGGUGGAGGCUGCAAGUUUGUGCAAGAAAUCAUUCCAUUGCAGAUGGAAGCUUUCAGACCCAGAGUGGAAUCUGUCCCUCUGUACCAUUCACUAAUGUUUCAGCAGCAAACGCCUAUCAUUUGUACAAUGCACUAUGCCCCACAAUUUCACAUUCUCCCAAGCAAAAGAACGCUUUGGAAUUUUGUGAAUCCAAGAAGGAAGAAGGAAGAAGCAAUAAACUCCUUUGAUAACAGCCCAGACAAUAAAGCAAGUGACUAAUGUGGUUCAAACAGCAUUGGCAUAUUGCAGCCCGCCUGAUAGCUUCCUCCUGCAGCUUGCCAAAAUUUUAUAGGAACAGCUGAUCCGAGGGUGUCUGCUACACACUCCUUUUCCGUAUCAGUAUGUUUUAUCAUAUGAUGACCGCAGAGCACAUGCUCCCAAACAAUAACAAACACUGUUUGAGCAUUCUAAGGAGCCAUUGUUCUUCAAUCAGAUGAUAACUAUUUGCUCUGAACGUAUCAAACCCAAGUGGCCUUUGUUUUCUCGUUUGCCGGAUUUCUUUUUCUUUCUUUUUUAAAGCAGAGUGACCUCUAUAGAGAGACAGAGAACGUUUGCUGCACAACAGCUAGCCAGUAAAUCGCUAGCUGUGGCACAACGUGACAAAUUUGGACAACUUUCUUGUGACCUGCUAUUACUAUUAUUUUUUAAAAAAGCACACAGCAUGACUCAUGGUGAUAUGGAAGGAAAGAAGAAAACAAACAAUCAGGAGGGUGAUAGAUGCUUAAUGGGGGACACCUUUAAUGUAUUUAUUAGAAGGACUGGAGGCCUGCACGGCAAAGCUAUCCACACCCAGACUGCGACUGCAAUGGAACUACCCAUUAUUUUUAUUAUUUUGUGCAGUACAGAUGUGUUGUUUUCCCCCUCCACUGAAAUACAUCCUCAGAACAGCUUGCAAAAUAAAGUUAUACCAUUCUGCAAAUCUCACUGCCAAUAUGCAAUAUAAACCCAGAUGAAAGAACAAACAGGAUUGUGACGGAGUUCACAUGCGGGGCAACAGAAGGCUGCCCCAGUACAGUAGUACUAUUCCACACUAUUAGUGAUCAUGCUCGGACCCAAGGAUGCCAUCAGACUGGCAAUGAACCCUGAUCCCCAGAGUUGACACGACGACAGAUUGUAAACUCAUUAUGCGGCACAUCUGGAUGGGUUAGAGAGGGAAUGGGCAUAGUAACAUGGGCAAAUCCUAUGCUACUCCAAUUGCCUUUGGACACCCUGCAGCCAGUGGAGGCUGGUUGCUUAGGGCAAAUGGUACACUUCCCCACCAACCUCAUUCUGCCCUCAGCCAGUCCCUGCCUGCCUGCCUUCUUGCUUACAACCAAUCAGGGGGUGACUCUGCCUCUCUGCCUGCCAUUGGCUCUGGUUCCACCUACUGUUGGGCUUGUGCCUUUCUCCCUGCCAGCACCAAGGUUGUUGUGAGGAUAAAAUGGUGGGGGAGGAGAACUAUAUCUGCUACCUCAAGGUCCCCGGAGGAAAAGUGGGCUGGGAAAGAUCUACACUUCUGUUUUUUAAUAUCAUGGAAGGGUUAAGGAAUGGUUUUGAUAAUGUAGUUUUCAUAGACGAACUCAGCCCUCCAGAUGUUUUUGAGACUACAGUUCCCAUCAUCCCUGACCACUGGUCCUGUUAGCUAGGGAUGAUGGGAGUUGUAGUCCCAAAACAUUUGGAGAACCGAGUUUGCCUAUGCCUGAUGUAGAUGAACACAUGAAAUCCUACUUUUUACAUUCAUAAUGUGUUAAUACCUUGGCUUUUUUAUUGCCUAAUUUUAAUUGUUUUCUGCUGCUGUAUCGGUGAAAAACUGCUCAUAUGUCUCUAUGUAUUGUUUUACCUUUUUUUUACUGCCUUCAAACACCGACCCCUCUCCAAUGGUAUUCAAGGGGUAGAUAACAAAGGACAUGGAGGGAAGGAGGGAGGGAGGAAGAAUUAAAAUGUGACACCAGAGGGUGGAGCAGAGGAACCAGCAACCAGCAGAAACAGCAUUUUGGGAAAUGGUGUGGCUGGGUAUUACUUACAUUUGAUGGAAAAAACCAAUGCAAAUAAUAACAAUAACAAGUAUGUCCUGUGAAAUUUUAGAGCGGCAUGCCUAAUAUUGUUCUAAUGGGGGGAAUAAAGUUAAACAGGUCAGUGUAGAUCCAGCCUAGAAAUGUAGUAAAAUAAAUAAAUAUAUAAGGUCCUAGUUUCAAUCCCUGGGAUAUCCAGGUCAGACUGCGAGAGACUCCUGGUCUGAAGCCCUGGACAGCCUCUGUCAGUUGGUGCAGACAAACACUGUGCUGGAUGAACUGACGGUCUGGCAUGCUACAAGACUGUUUUCUAUUUCUGUGCGAAGAAAUGAGGCAAAGGAUCAGAAGAAAUAAAGGACAGAGUGUGAGCAAAAAGUAUGUGAAGGCCCAGUGAGGUGUAAAGUUUUUAUUGUCAUUAGUUUUGGAAAAAUCUGCAUAACUGAGUCUUGACUAACGUGGUCAUCCCAGACGCAGAGCAAUAAAAGAUUUAUAGUACCUUUUCCAACUCGCAUAUUCUCUGUAUGCACUCGCUUGUGUUGAAUGUGAAAUACCUCUUAAAAUGCCUUCCUUCCGCCCAGGUCAAAAAGUCCAUACGAAAAUAGCAGAUAUCCUUACACUGCUGGUUUUUUUAGCAGGACAUUGUUAACUCCCCACCUCCACCUUCUAGGAAGCAGCGAGCUAGGUGAAAAUACAUGUAUAUGCACCACAAAACCUUGACUACAAUAAUGGGAAGAGCAGCACAACUUUAUCUUAUGAUCCAAAGAAACUGAUGUGGCUUAAUGGAGCAUCAAUAAGAACAGAACAGAAUGGGACAUGAAGUUUUCUUGUGGCUGGAACUUGGCUAAGUUUCACUCAGGGUACACCCACUUAAAUUAGUGGACCCAAAUUCUCCAGUGAAGAUAGAUAGAUUAGAUUUUAGUGACUUUUUCCUUCAAUUUAAUUUUAUUAUCAUGUAUACUGCUUAGGCCAGGCAUAGGCAAACUCGGCCCUCCAGAUGUUUUGGGACUACAACUCCCACCAUCCCUAGCUAACAGGACCAGUGGUCAGGGAUGAUGGGAGCUGUAGUCCCAAAACAUCUGGAGGGCCGAGCUUGCCUAUGCCUCGCUUAGGCAACUCUUUGCAGUUCACAAAAUUUUCUAAAUAAAUUUAUACUUUUUUUUUUAAGGCACAGAUCAACAUAGAAAUGAGAAAUAAUGGGUUUGAAGAUAAGGAAUUAUUUUUACUACUGAGGUCCUCAAAGGCCCUUUGGUCUAUGUGUAAGGCUAGUUUGCUUCCUUAAUCCUCUUGAAGUUUUAGGGUGGGGUAGCAAGGGAUAAUGGGAUGCAGGUGGCGCUGUGGGUUAAACCACAGAGCCUAGAGCUUGCCAAUCAGAAGGUCGGCGGUUCAAAUCCCUGUGACAGGGUGAGCUCCCAUUGCUCGGUCCCAGCUCCUGCCAACCUAGCAGUUCGAAAGCACGUCAAAGUGCAAGUAGAUAAAUAGGAACCGCUCCUGCGGGAAGGUAAACGGCGUUUCCGUGCGCUGCUCUGGUUCACCAGAAGCGGCUUAUUCAUGCUGGCCACAUGAUCCGGAAGUUGUAUGCCGGCUCCCUCGGCCCAUAGAGCGAGAUGAGCGCCGCAACCCCAGAGUCGGUCACGACUGGACCUAAUGGUCAGGGGUCCCUUUACCUUACUUAGCAAGAGAUAAAUCGGACAAUGGGCCAUUACCCUUACUUCAGCUUUGUUUAGAUAGGAGAUGAUAGUGCUUCAUUUGCAACUGAAUUGCAGUAGUGCAGAAGUUUCCAAAGGGGAAGAACUCAAAGGUGGGUGUGAACAAAAGUAAUUUCUCCAUGGAAAAGGUUCAAAAUGUAUGUGUGUGUGUGUGUGCGCACGUAGCAAUAAAAUGCUAUUCCGUAUUGUUUUCCACAUUGUGUUGUCAUUACAUUGAAACUCAUCUGGUACUUAUUAAGUAAUAACAAGGAGUCAACCCUCCAAGCUCCACACAGUUUUAAUAUUCUAGUAGAAACUGUAUGUGUUUUCUUAAAGCUGGGAGGAGUAGCCUCUUUCUACAAGGAGCACUUGAACAGGGUGUCAUUUCAAAGGCUUCCAUCCAAAGGCCAAGUGAUUUAUAUCAAAAGCAUAGAUCUACUACUGUGACCAUCUGGAGUCUUUGUAUUGGGUUCUGAGCUGGCAGAGAAGGCAACUAGCCCAACAUUCAAGCCAAAGGAAUUCUACUAUGGCUGUUUAAACCUGUCAAGCUGAUAGAAAGCAGAGAGUCAACAAGCAAGCAGCACCUAAAACAGAGACGAAGAAGGCAGGGGGAUUGCGAAACUUGGAGAGAUCAGAAUGUUGCAAAGAAUUAGUGUGCAUAAAUGACAUUUCUGAGGGAUUUCCCCCCCCCCACCAAUGUUUGAAUACUUCAGUGACAGGCACUAGAAAAAUACCAUAAAUAGUUCAGGUGAGAAGAUUAGAUAGACAAGUGAGGUAUGCUGAUAUUUUGACACCGGAGACAAAGGACAUGAUUCCUGCAGAAGACAAGCCUCGCUUGUGGGAGCCGGGUCCAGCUCUUGUGUUUUUCUCCCUAAGUGUGUGGAUGAGAAAUUCUCAAAGGGUUUUGACCCAACGGAGUAAGUGCAGCCAAUACUUUGAUGCACAGUAAGGUAAAGGUAAAGGGACCCCUGAAGAUUAGGUCCAGUCGUGGCCGACUCUGGGGUUGCAGCGCUCAUCUUGCUUUAUUGGCCAAGGGAGCUGGCAUACAGCUUCCAGGUCAUGUGGCCAGCAUGACUAAGCCGCUUCUGGUGAACCAGAGCAGUGCAUAGAAACACCGUUUACCUUCCCGCCAGAGCGGUACCUAUUUAUCUACUUGCACUUUGACGUGCUUUCGAACUGCUAGGUUGGCAGGAGCAGGGACCGAGCAACGGGAGCUCACCCCGUCGCGGGGAUUCAAACCGCCGACCUUCUGAUUGGCAAGUCCUAGGCUCUGUGGUUUAACCCACAGCGCAACGCGCGUCCCUAUAUAUGCAAGCAAAUCAAAGAGAUGGAGGGAACUCAAAGGACAUCCAGAAAUGCACCAUGACAACAUCCCUGCUAGGUAGCCAUCUGCCUCUGCAAAUAAAAUUAAGCAGCAUCAGCAUCAUGUCUACUCUUAAAAGCAUCUAAGAAAAGGCAGUCUAUUUCCUUCUGAGGCAGCCUGUUACACUGCUGAACAGUUUGUACUGUCAGGAAGUUAUUCCUAAUGUUAAGUCAAAGUCCCAUUUCUUGUUAUUUGAACCCAUUGGCUCAGGUCCUACCCUGUGGAGCAACAGAGAAGAACUUUCCUGCGUCAUCUUUGCAACAGCCCUUUGGCUAAUGCAAUAAUAACAAUGGAUCAUUCAGCAAUUAGGUCACUAUUUACCUGAAGUGACUGAUAAACAUAAUUGGAAAUCAGGUUCUUUAUGAAGGAUGAGAUCACCAGCAUACUUUUCAGCUGGUCCUUAGAGUUUACACAUUGCCCAAUUGCUCCUGGGGGGGGGGGGAGUUGGUUUCCAACCUUGAUGAGGCUUCAUGUCACAGCAAAUAAAGAAGUCUGAGAGAGAGAGAGAGAGAGAGAGAGAGAGAGAGAGAGAGAGAGAGAUCACAUUGGUGUUUAUUGGAGAGAGAAAGGGAUUAAAGACCUCUCUGCAUGGGUCACAAGUACAUACAGGAGUAAGCUAUGGGGAGUUCAAAAUGGGAAAACUUUUCAGAUUUCAGCAGGGGACAUACAAAGAGAUUUUAGCAGAUGAGGCAAAUUCUGCAAGUAUCCCACCAGGAACCAUUACAGAAGACGUACACUCACCUCCCAGACAAUUUGCUGCCUAAGAUGAAACAGCAAAUGGUGUGUUGUUUCCCCCCCCCCAUCCUCCCAUCAAGGUGCUUAGUAUUCAAAGCUGAGCAAGGUAUUGUUGGCAGAUGAGGCAGAAAAUCCCACAAAUGCGUCUCCCUUUGGAGACACCCAAAACCAGCUGUCAGAGGUGGCCACCUCACCCUUCCUAAAACUGGUUUUGCUGUGAAAGGGAAUUGCCUUUUAUCAGAUGACUCCUGCAAUAGUUUUUCAUUGUAGCCAAAUUAUAAUUUUCCAUCUAAAAUUAGGUUUCUAAUCUGCUAGCCAAAAGGUGGAAUUAGGUAUGUCGUGAGGUUUCCUCCUGGUAACCACUCGGUCUCUGAGCCCCUGCCCCCUCAUAGUGCCUCCUUGGUCAUGAGAUGGUAAGAGCAGUUACCUUGAGAACUACGUAGAGCAGGGGUGCCCAAACUUUUUCCAAAGAGGGCCAGAUUAUAUGCAGUGAAAAUGCGUGAGGGCCGACCAAAGUUCUUGAGCUUUUCUUAGGAUUUAAGUUGUUGAGCUUUUUAGACAAUUGAAGUUAUUGAGCUUUUUUUAGGAUUUUACUUCAGGACAUUUACUACCAUGGAGACCAGAUUAAAUUGACCAGCAGGUCAGACUAGGCCCCAGAAACGGACUUUGGAUGUGUCUGACAGAGAGCAAUUGGGAAGAAUGCCUCUUUUUCUCACUUCCUCCUUCAGCUCUUGAUGAAUUUCAAGGCUCAGACUAAUUCUGUUGGAUCCAACAGGGGAAAGUGUGGGAAAGCAAAGUGGGGAGUGAAAUUAAGUCUUCACCGCUUUAUCAAAUCUAAUCUUACUUAACUGCUUUAGGAGCCUGAAAUGUUUUCUGUAUAAUUGUAAUACAUACAAUUGCACCAUUUGGAAAAGUUAUGACAUUUAGGGUACAAUACUAAAGAAACUUAUCUGAAAACAAGCCCCAUUGAACACAAUGGGACUCACUUCCAAAUAAUUGUGCAAGUCCCACUGAACAUACUUCUAAGGAGAUAUGUAAAAGAUUGUACUGUAAAGCAUCAAUGUAUCUAUUAAAUCAAUAGUCACAAGUACAGUGGUACCUCGGGUUAAGUACUUAAUUCGUUCCGGAGGUCCAUUCUUAACCUGAAACUGUUCUUAACCUGAAGCACCAUUUUAGCUAAUGGGGCUUGCCGCUGCCGCUGCACUGCCAGAGCACGGUUUCUGUUCUCAUCCUGAAGCAAAGUUCUUAAUCCGAGGUACUAUUUCUGGGUUAGCGGUGUCUAUAACCUGAAGCGUAUGUAACCUGAAGCGUAUGUAACCAGAGGUACCACUGUAUACCAAAAGUUAAAUACAGCGCUCCAAGCUGCUUCUCCAUAAAGUACCUAAGGAUGUUUGACUCCCAGUACGUUUCCGAGCACUAUUCAAAGUGUUGGUGCUAAUCUUUAAAGCCCUAAACGGCCUUGGCCCAGUAUACCUGAAGGAGUGUCUCCACCCCCAUCGUUCUGCCCGGACACUGAGGUCCAGUGCCGAGGGCCUUCUGGCGGUUCCCUCAUUGUGAGAAGCCAAGUUACAGGGAACCAGGCAGAGGGCCUUCUCGGUAGUGGCACCCACCCUGUGGAAGGCCCUCCCACCAGAUGUCAAAGAGAAAAACAACUACCAGACUUUUAGAAGACAUCUGAAGGCAGCCCUGUUUAGGGAAGCUUUUAAUGUUUAAUAGAUUAUUGUAUUUUAAUAUUCUGUUGGAAACCGCCCAGAGUGGCUGGGAAAACCCAGCCAGAUGGGUGGGGUUUAAAUAAUAAAUUAUAUUAUUAUUAUUAUUAUUAUUAUUAUUAUUAUUUCAACUUGAAAAAAUGGAAGCAAAAAUGGGAUGGGAGGGACUGAGAACAGAAACCACAGACACUUGUUUGCAAAUGGAAACACUUAUUUAGUUUAGAAACAGUAUGCAAAUGUCAGCAUUUUCACAAAUAAAUUCAUAUAUCUAGGUGGGGGAGUCAUCAAAUAAUCUUGGCUAUAAUGCAAUUAACAAAAUCUGGAUAUUCAAUUGCACUUUAUAAUAAGAGAUCAAGGUUGUUUCAUCAUUUGACAUGGUACCAUAGAAACUGGCUGUUGAUAGGCAAAAUUAGCCAUUUGCAUUUAUUUACCCAGCUGGAUUCCGGUAAAUGACACAUUCCUGGAAAUAAUAGCAUUAUUACAAUAAUAAGUAACUAAUGAAUUCAUAGGCCUUCAUUUGGAGUGAAGGGGAAGGGAAGUGAUCUCUUUAUUGAACUGAAAUAUUUCAAGUCCUGACCCAGCUGCCUUGCGACAACAAUGUGGAGAUUACUCUCUGUUGCCAUUUUUACUGUAGGAACAUAGAGAACCAUAGAAAGUCAGAUCACGGUUCUACCUAGCUCAGUAUUGUUCACUCUGAUUGGAAGCAACUCUCCAGAGUUUCAGGCAGGAAACAUUCCCAGCCGAACCUGGAGACGCUGGAGCUGAACCUGGGACCUUCUCCAUGAAAAACAGGUGCUUUGCUGCUGAGCCAUGGCCCUUCGGCAUCUCCUUUACUUUGCCAUAUCCAGCUGCGCCUUUGGGGCUAACUUUGCCAUUUCCAGCACUGCUUGAUGGCUCAGUGCUGCUCAGCAACCCUUCAAAAUUUCAGCCUUGGAAAAAUAAGAGGGCUGAUUAUCUGUCUUGAUGAGGGGGUGGAAAUAGAGGCUGCCGUUUUGAAUAGGAAGUCCAUUAAGGUCAAAUAAUAAGGCUUGUCUCCUAAUUAAAUCAGGCCUGCGUAGGAGGCCAUUUGUUAAAGGCCGUAAACUACUUGCAACCUCACUGGACCUGCCUUAAUGGUAAAUGAAGAAAAUGAAUGAUAAAUCUAACUGAAAAAGAAAGACAAGAUCAGUGUUGCCCUCCCUCAAUUACAUUAGUUCCUUGAGGGACAUUUUUUUUAACCCACUCAGGAAAGAACAUACAUUUACUCCUAAUGUUUUGUUUCCUCCUUCCUCCUAAUCUGAGAUAUUUGAGAGGCUUCCUAGGCGGCCCAGCAUUUUGUGCUGAAACGCUUCUCUCUUUCCUUACAUAAGAACCUACUGGAUCAGGCCAUGGCCCUUCUAGUCCAGUAUCCUGUCCUCAUAGCGGUCAACCAGUUGCCCCAAUGGGAAGACUGCAAGCAGGAUUCAAGCCCAAGAGCCCUCUCCCCUCCUUCAGUUUCCAGCAAUUGGUAUACAGAAGCAUUACUGCCGCCAGCUGUGGAGGCAGGGAAUAGCCAUCGCUAUUAGAGAGGGAGAAGAGCAACGGUUUUGAAUGCAGAAGGUCCAAAUUUCAAUCCCUGGUAUCUCCAGGUAGGUGUGCUGGGCCCGGGGGUAACCCGAGCAAUGCGGUCCAGGUCCAGUCCUGAAUCCAAGGGUUCCACGAGGAGUCAGUCCGCCAGGGCCAAGGCAGGUUCUGGCAAACAGCAAUGUUGUUCCCGCAACCUGGGGCGGGGUCUACAGCCUUUUAUAUUUGUUGGGCUAACAGCUGGUCCUGAUCCCCCAGUGACUCAUCUCCCUGUCUCACCCAAAGGCAAGCACUCCUCCUGCGAGUACUCAGGUCUCUCCUUCUCUCAGACCUUAGUCUCUGCAGCUUGGGAGAUGUUGGUGGGUUACUAGACCGAGAGGCCGCCUCAGCCUCUCCUGACCCAAGUAGUAGUGGAGCAGCUGUAAGUGAUUGCCCAGCUGAAGGCAACAAGGCAAUCCCCGCAUCUGCAGCCAGGGCAGGCUCAGGCCCCUGACUCAGCCCAGCUGGUGCUUGUUGCGGGGGAACCUGUGCAGACCGGGGCUCUUCAGAAUCAGGCCCCAUACUUGGUUCAGAUGCUCCCUGAGGCAAAGGAUCCAGUGCGGACUGAGACUCCUCUAGUUCCGAGUCUGAGUCCCAGGCUAUCACAGUAGGGCUGAGAAAGGCCUGAAACCCUGAAAAACCACCCACAUUAGUGUACUGUGCUAUAUGUACCAAUGGUCUGGUGUGGUAUAAGGCAACUUCCUGUUUCCAUGUACUCCUGGUUGCUUCUGAGUAGCGUUGUCAGUCUUGAAAAGCUCUGUCUUCUCCCCAAGGGUUUGGCCUAACAUAACAGGGUGCCCAGAAAAAGACAGGAAGCCAGAUUGAUUUCAGCAACAUCCCUCUCGUUUGUGUUAUUCAAUGUCGUGCAAUUGAUUUUAGCAAUAAAAUCGACAGUGCCACGUUUCAGCUCAUUUCCAAUCCAAUCGGGUUUCUUCUGGGGCAUGAGCCAGAGCUUUACAUAGCGUCAGAGAAAGCCAGUGUUCCCUUAUCUCACAGCCCCAACACUCAGAGGUUUUCUCUGUUGACCUGCAGUGCUCUUAGAGAAGUCAACCAACAGGUCCCUUCUUCCUAGGCAUUCUAAAUAUAUAUAUAUGCUGAAUGGCAGAAAGCCAGAGUUAUGAAAGACAGAAGUGCACCUAAUUGCAAGGUUACCAAGUGUCAUCAAGCUCAUGUAAUGUUCAAGCGGCUGCCAGCUUCCUGGUGCCUGUCAAUUGUCUACACUGAAUCUCAUAUGCUGAGGUGAACAGUGGAGUGGCCUGGGGUUUCAGGGGUGACUCUUCUAUUUAAUAAAGAAAAUGUUUGUACCAUGCAGAAGGAGAAAAUGCAGUAGCAGCACAAAGCAUCCUCCAUGAGUUAAAUGGCAACUGGAAGAUAAGGCUAGCAGUAGCUACUGGCCAGGAUGACCAUGAUCUGCCUCCGUUGUCAGUUCCUGGGACAUGUGCUGUUGAACUCAAGUCCUCCUAGUGGACUUCCCAGAGUCAAUCAGUUGACCACUGUCAGAACAGGAUACUGGACCAGACAGGCCUUUAGCAUGGUCCAAUAGGGCUCUUCUUAUAUUCUUAUGAGCCAUAAGAGAUACUAUGUACAAAGUGAUGAAUAGUGUCAGGUUCAAUGAAUUCCAGUCCUCCCCCCACUAUAUGACAGCCAAAGAAGUAGACAAGGAAGCUCUUACCAAGUCUAUAUUCAAUAUUCACAGUGAGAGGCCUCUAUACACUGCCUCUUAGUUUAAUGGCAUUGCUCCAACUGAGCUCCUCCACCUUCCCUUCCCAGCAACAGCACUUCCCCUUAUGGUGAAGUCUCUAAGUUCUUUGCUCUUCCACUUUCAAUGGAUGCCGGGUUCUGGAGGAAGGGGGGCUAGAAAUUCUCUCCAGUGAUAACGUGUCAGCUGGCUGCUCUGUUUCUGUCUCCCCCUUCACUUCUCCCAACUCUUCUGUUCAAGAGCCAGUGUGGUGUAGUGGUUAAGAGCGGUAGUCACGUUAUCUGGGGAACCGGGUUCGCGUCUCCGCUCCUCCACAUGCAGCUGCUGGGUGACCUUGGGCCAGUCACACUUCUUUGAAGUCUCUCAGCCCCACUCACCUCGCAGAGUGUUUGUUGUGGGGGGGGGGGAGGGAAAGGAGAUUGUUAGCCGCUUUGAGACUCCUGAAGGGGAGUGAAAGGCGGGAUAUCAAAUCCAAACUCUUCUUCUUCUUCUGUUCGCCUGUCUCUGAGCUGUGACCUUCCUCAAACCACUGCUGUAAUUCAAUACUGCCUUCCUCUUCUCUGGAAGGUUCAGGAGGAGGGGGGCGGUCUCCACCAUUCCUCCUCAGUCUCAUCCCCCUCAGUCCAGUCCCUGACAGAUGGGGGGAACUUUGGGUAAUCCAAGCAUGUCCAUAGGGUGUACUAGGCCUAAAGCAUACACAUGCUUCAGGACUCCAACAUGGUUAGGGCAUGGUCACCAGUAUUCCUUCUUUGCAACAGGUAUGGAGGUCAGUGGCCAUAGAAAACAGGGCUCCUGCACCUUUAACAGUUGUGUAGAAGAAGGUAUUUCAGCAGAUGUAGCUGAACAUGCAAACUACAUUCGCUGAAGUAAGGGUGGCCCCUUUGCAAUGCUAGAAAAAAGACGAGAUGGGUUUGCAUAGAAUCUGUAUAUGCUAUUAUACGUAUAAAUACAUCCAAAUACAUCCAAAGUUAGAAAAUAUUAGUCUAAAUUAAAUAGAAAUGCAAUGCAUUUUUACCAGUGUGGAAGACCAGGUGAUCUGUGUGCCUGCCAAGUCCACUUCUGCAGGUUCUGCUACCUAUUGAUGGAUAAGCAAGACCCGUGCCUUUCUUUCUUACAGCUCUUUACAUUUAAACCGAGCUUGGGCCAGACAGAGGAUUUCAAAUAGAGGAUUCCUUCAAACAGAUGAUUGUCCCUUGUGAAGUCAGAUACACAGCAGCUCUGGCUUAAUUGCCCUCUUCUGCAUAACUGUUGGAAGAGCCCUGUCUCCUCUGGCAACUGGAUGUCACCAGGCAAGCAAGGCAAGAUCCAGCAGUGUUUGAGGUUACUUGUGGCCUGGGCCAAUGUAAGAUCCCGCUCUGCAAGUCUAGCAGGUUCUGGUGGUGAGAUAGCAGUGAAUGGCAAAUGUCAUUCAUAAAAUGGAUUACGAGGCAAGCUGUGACCAGAGUAUGCCACCCAAAACAGGAAGACUGCAACAGCUAUAAAGCUGUUAUACUAUGCGUAUAUUUAUUUGAAAGUCCCAUUGAAGUCAGAGUGACCUUCUUAAAAUCAUAUAAGCUUUGGGGAUGUGCCAGCCCAGUACAUUUUGCCACCUGAAUUAGAGCUUGAAUGAUGUGCCAGUUCCCAUCUUCAUCUACCUGCUCUUCAUGGUGAACCAGAUUGUUUCACCCUGCUGCAUGACUGGGCCGGCCCUGGAUUGGGUUGCAAGUGAUCUACAUCUUCAACUCCAUAUUGAACAGUUUGUAUAAUUAAAAUAAAGUACCUAGAUAACAGACAACCCCAUGAUUAUCCUGGGAUCUCGGUAAGCCUCUUGACAGCAGUGGAGCACCUGGUGUGGCUGAAUCAUAGCAAUAGCCUUCUCUCAGCAGCAUCACUGCUACUUGCUUGGAGACAGUGGUGAGAUCAGGGCUUCAUUGGUGCACCGGAGGAGCCAAACCAGCCUUCUACUGGUACACCCACAUGGCCUCAACCUCCCUGCCAUCAUACCCCUUUCUGCUGCCAGGAGAUUAUAGCUAUUCUCUGCUCCAUUGUAUGAAACAAUUCUGCCUCUUGAUGAUGACCUAGUUAACUUGAUGCAGUAGCGUACUGAGUGGUUUGGCUUUGCAAAAUAACAAAAAAGUGACAAUUGUGAAAGGCAAGUUUUGCCAACCUGGUGUUAUCCAGAUGUCCAACACCACAACUCCAGAUGUUUGGAACCUGAAGUCCACCAGAUGUUUAGGACCACAACUUCCAUCAGCCCCAGCCAACACUGCAAGGGCUGUUGGGAGUUGUCCUAAACCUCUGGAGGGCCCUACGUUGGUGAAGUCUGAUGUACAGUGAGACUUCUUUUUUUAAAAAAGCCUAUAAUCCAUUUAUAAAUAUGCACAAUGUUGUGUUGGGAGGAGGAAGUUUCUGCUUUGCUAAAUGAGAAAAAAUACUUUUUGAUUUCUGGAAACCAGCAGAGUGAGAGUGCUCAAUUUCUUUCAUCAUCUUGGCUUCGUGUGCUCUCUCCACAUCUGUCUCUGUAAGCAUCCCAUUUCAGUGUAAGAACUCAACUGAAAUGUCUCUCAGCUCCCUCCCUGGGUUCCUGCUUAAGCCGCCUGUCCAUAUAUAGGCAAUUUUGGACUCUCUGCUUAACGCUUGCAUACAAAUACCUCCUUGCCAUCCUCCAGCAAACGUGUUCCGUCAUGAUCUUCCCCAAAUCUCAGUGAGAAAGCAGCACAGUGCCAAGGUGCAUGUACAUGCAAGAAAGGAAUGUAAUAAAUUACAAAGUUCUGAAGGGGAGGGGAAAGAACCAAAGAAGAAAAGAAAAGGGCAAUGUGUUCACCCCCCCCAAUAGGAGUACACAGAUUGCCAAAGGGCAAAAUCUUUCAAAACCAAGUGUGUGCUUUGCAGUGUGUGCUUUGCAAUCAGUGCCAUGACAUGGGAAAAUGAGUAACAUGCUUUCUUGGUCAUUAAAGAGACUGCAGUGAAAUGCUGUGAACUGGCAUUGAGGUCUAACUCUCAUUAACACGUACUUCGCUCUGUUGAGAAGCAAAGGCGAUUGCAGUUAUUGUGGUGCUGACCUUUCACCUCCCUGGUCUGCACUGUUAAAAGCUCCCCAGGCCUGGAAUUCUAUCACUCCAAAAUCAUAAUUAGGACUGUUAGUCAUUGCAAGGGGGUUCUAAGAUUUGUACUACCAAUCAGCUGCACGGCUUGAGUGCUGUGUAAUAGGCAAGAGAUCUGAGAGGAGGAAAAGAAGAGAGAAAGCAAUCAGGAUUUAUUUUCAUUUCGAUCAAGCCUGCCCAACAUGGUACUAAGCCAUUGAUGGUGUCCAAAGGCCCCUUAGUAAACCGCUUGCUCAUUAUGCUUGACCAGAAUGGGAUGAUACAAUCUGAAGGUACAUGAAGGCACCAUCUGUAAACUGGACUGGGCUUGGCGGGGUCCCUUGGAUUACAUGGUAGCAGAAAUGCAGCCUGGGUAGCUCAGUUGGUUAGAACCUACUGCUGACAAUGCCAAGGUUGCAGGUUCGAUUCCCGUAUGGGACAGCUGCAUUGCAGGGGUUGGACUAGAUGUUCCUCAGGGUCCCUUCCAACUCUACGAUUCUACUUAAACAGAAGGGGGAAACCCACAUGUGUUGUCAGGCACCUGGGAAGCUUCAGUACAGGUGGUGGACCAUGAUGGCUUGAUGAAUCGUAAGUAGGGAUGGGUGAAUCUGCCAGCGUUAGUUUCUAAUUGUUCCAGUCGUAUGUUCAGUUUACCCUAUUUCCACAUCAGUCUGCAUGGGAGCCGGGUGACCUCUUGCCUCUGUGGACCACCACCUCUCGUCAGCACAUGGGAAUUUUCAGUCUUACCUCUUGCCAUAGGAGGCUCAAUCCCGCAUCAGAGAAGUCUCAAAGAUGCGAUUUGCUCACAUUUACUCAUAGCAUAGUAAUUACACAUUACAACUCCAUUGACUGGAUGGAGGAUGUUGCUUGCAUAAUGUAGUUCUCAUUGCAUUCCAAUUAUUUUGUGCAACAUGACAUUUAUCUGUGUGGUAAAUCUCUCUGAUCCUCCUAGCCCAUAUUUUAAGCAGCUGGCAAAGAAUAUAUUACAUGCCAUUCUUGUACAUUAGUUAACGUCCCAAGAUCUAUUGAAUCCAUCGGGGCGAUUCUGUGCCUGCCUAGCUAUCUGAUCAUGCUGGGCAGUAUGGGGGGGGGGAAUAUGGAAAGAUCUCCCCCUUCCCACAGCUCAAACCUGGGCAUCCACUUCGACUAGGUGUAAGGAUUGCAAAGCAGUCCCGAGCAAUAAUUCUGCAUCAUACACUUUCUAACAUUUAAUCAAAGAGAUUACUCAUUGGGCUUUCCACCACAUGCAUAAAAUACAAUUUCGCUCUUACACAAAUAUAUUUGUAAUAUAUAUUAACUCUCAUAUUAGUAAUGACAUUGUAAAUAAGUGGUGCAUGCAAUGGGUGGGUGUGGGCCGUAGCUGAAGUGGCGGAGUACAUGAUUUGCAUGCAAAAAUUCCCUGGUGCAAUCUCUGGCCUCCCCCCAGAGGUAGGGCUGAGAAAGAAUCGCUGCUACUAAUUGUAGAUGAUACUAUGCAAAAAUGGACCAAUGGUCUGACUCAUUAUGAGGGAACUUGUUCAGUUCCUAUAGUGAGCAUGCAUGCGUAGGUGUCAGUCUUAAAGCUGUGCCGCACAGACGCUUAUGCCAGCACUCACUUCCAAUGUGUUAUCUAUCUAUUUAUUUAUUUGAGCAACUUACAUGGCACUUAACUACAAUAGCCUCAAAGAUACAGCGCAAGAACGAUAAAUCAGUUAAAACUAUAAAAUCAAUUAAAAUUGAUUUAUUUUUAUUUAUUUAUUUUUAAAAAAGGUUUUCAGGAGUUGCCAGACGUUCAGCAGGGAUGGGGCCCAUCUGCCCACAACUGGAAAGGAAGUUCUGUAAAAUUGGAGCCCAUAAUACUAGAUGCAUGGCUCCUCUAAAGACCACAGCGACCGGGCAAGGUUUAAAUGGUACUUGAAAUUAUUUGAUUCGGAAUGUUUAAUUGGCUUUUAAUUUAGAAUGUAUAAUUUGAUUUAUUAUUUGGGUUAUGAUUUAUGAUUUGGUAUGAAUUGAUAUGUUAUUAACUGGACCAUUAUUAAUGGGUAAUUAAUUAAAAAAUAUUUUUUUUAAAAAAAUGGUACUUGAGGUAUCCUGGGCCAAAUUGUUCAGGGUCUUGAAAAUUAAUACAAGAACCUUGAAAAGUAUAACAUUUAUUGCAACAAACUACCACACACACCACAGCCACCAACAUUCAUAUACAGUGAUACCUCAGGUUAAGUACUUAAUUAGUUCUGGAGGUCUGUUCUUAACCUGAAACUGUUCUUGACCUGAAGCACCACUUUAGCUAAUGGGGCCUCCUGCUGCCGCUGCACGAUUUCUGCUCUCAUCCUGAAGCAAAGUUCUUAACCCGAGGUACUAUUUCUGGGUUAGCAGAGUCUGUAACCUGAAGCGUAUGUAACCUGAAGAGUAUGUAACCCGAGGUACCACUGUACACCUCAAAAUUUUGUUGCAGAUCUCACUGGUGAUGCAAUAGUGGUGAAGUCAUCACUUGAUGUUGUAGCCAUCCAAUUUUGAACCUGCUUGUGAGAAGAGAGCCAGAAAGCUUUGUGAAAAGAGCAAGAUUCUUUCCUUUCUCCCGUGAAAAGCUGCUUCCCAUGUAUGAGGAGAUAAUGAGCAUCCAUGAAAUUUUUUAUCUUUCCUCCAACUAAUAAAACAAAUUCAUUAGUGGAUUAAGGCUAAUAUAUAUGCUUGUGAAUCACGCCCAUGGAGUCCCUAACCUUGUCGCAUGUUAUCACAUCUGUCGUCUGCUUGGUGAAACAUUUUAAUUACUCUCAAAAUAGCAGGAUCACAUUUCCUCAAGUAACACAUUAGCUUCACUAUUUUUUUUGCAAAAGGGAGAGGAGAGAGAGAGAGAGAUUGAGACAUUUAUAUCAAUUUCAUUAUACCAAUGAAAGAAACAAUUGCAGUAAGGCACAGAUUUAUCACCGGGAGCUCUCAGGAUAAGCAGCAGAAGCAGCUUUUUUUUAAAAAAAAAUACCAGCAAUUAUCAUGUGUGAUGGCAGAAAUACAGGAUUUAGGAAAUGCUUCAGGCAGAAACAUGAAAUUACCAGGCUCCAUCUUCACAUGCCACCAGGUAUAUCAGUCGACUCCUUGCUGGGUGGAAGAUGAUCCCUCAUGUGUCUUGUUAUUCUUUGUGUAUGCUCUGAGGCCUCCAACGGAGAAGGGUGAUGUUUGUAUCUCCACCCUUGAAGCAGAAGCCAUGGCCUGACACUGUGCUGUAUGUGGGGCUUCUCUUGCACUUGACCCAGAAGCUGCAGUGAGUGUGGAAUGUACUGCAGUACAGUUGCUGACAGAAGUGAGACCCUGACAACAUAUAACACCUGCGCUCAGAGACCUGCACUGGUUGCUAAUCUGCUAAUCUGCCACCAAACCAAGUCUAAGGUGUUACUAUUAGUACAUAAAGUUUCUAUCCAAAUGCGAUUUUGCUUUAAAAUGCAGUGUAAGGAGUCUCUAUGGGAGUAUAUUGUAUUUUAAAAUGGGAUAUCAGAGUUUUUAGGGGGCUAACCAGGUUGGGAUAGUUGGGAUAGCAGGCUUGUUGGUUUUUGAAUGUCUUAUGUAGAUUUUUUCAAUUUCGUUGUUCUGUAUGGGACAAUGAUAAUGAAGAUUAUCGUAUCGUAUCUUAUCAUAAAGCCCUCGAUGCAGAGCUUUCCAAACUUUUCAUGUUGGUGACACACUUUUUAGACACGCAUCAUUUCAUGACAACACAGUAAUUCAGUUUUACUAGUAAACCAGAGGUUAAACUAACCCCUUUCCAGCCCCGGGAGAAGCACGUGCAACACAUCUACAGUAGACCUUAGGUGCUGCCCUCUUGGGACUGUGGCAUCAAGGGCAUGCCCAUGCACUUGACAAACUGCAAUCCAGGGCUGGUAGUAUGAAUUCAGCUUAAGAAGAGUCAUCAGAUGUAAUGUAUGGGUGAGAGACUAAGGCAUUUUUGGAGCAGUGGGAUGCUCAGACUACAGAUUCUUCACAUAGCUCUCCGUGGGAGGUAAGUUCAAAUUCCUCUUUUGCACAUUACACUUAAACUCUCAAAAUAGAGUCAUUCACACAACCCGUUCCUCUCCCCUUUUGUGUGUGGUGCUAACUGUGUAUGUGUGGCGCUAACCUUGGGCUAGCUGCCUUGGCAUUCUGAGGGAUUAGAAAAGAGUUUUGAGCAUGCCUAAGCCAACAGAUGAAUAAAAUAAUCCACUGAAUUCUUUUGUACCCCACAUAUGCCCAACUGGAAGCUUCAAGUGUAUAUAUGUAUGUGUGUAUAUAUAUAUAUAUAUAUAUAUAUAUAUAUAUAUAUAUAUAUGGAGAGGGGGACUUGUAGACUUAGUGGUUACCAGGAGAAGACCUCAAGGGCCCCACUGCACCCACGGGCACCACAUUGGCAACUCCUGGCUUAAGUCAUAAAAAAUAGCAAUUGGGGUGAUGGCUGUCUAUCUGGCACACAGCUGAUUAACUUCCAUAUAGUGGCAUAUCACCCAGCUCACUGAAAAUCGCCUAGUCUCAUCUGAUUGAUAAACAUCCACAUUCUGCUAUGCAGAUGCCUGUUAUGUUUUGUUAGCAAAUAGCAUUUCUGGCCUCUGAAAUUCAAGAACCCUUUUUAGUCUCUGUUUACACUAACGCCGCCUCUGCCGACUUUCAAGAAUUGUGCACUAUUGACAAAGGUUUGUUGUUGUUUAAUUACAAGGUAGAUUAUUCCCAUGUUUAGAUGAUUACUGUGCAUCUUGACACAAAUGUUAUUCCCCAAACUGCCAAACAUAAAUUGGCUUUGAUUCCUUUCACUUAAUCUUAUUAGCACUGCGUUGUAAGCCUCUUGUCUUGCAACAUUAUAUUUGAUCACCUAGAGGAUUUGAUCACUUUAGCUUCAUCUAAUGAACCUUGGUUUGGGAAAGGGGGUAUUAAUUCCACUCAAUCUUGAAAAUCGGGGGGGGGGGGGGAUGACGACUGCCCACAAAUGCUAAAAUGCAUCAGAGGAAUAUACCAAUUCACUGUUCUGAAACAGAUACCUGUAUUUGCAGUAAAUUUCAUAUUGAGCAUUUGGAAAUGUAAGGUUUUUUAAAUAUAUAUAUAUUAGAUUUUACAAAUUAAUAUUAACAUUCACAAUCAUAGAUUAAAAAAAACCUCAAAUAAACAAGAUUCUUCCGAAUCGUUAGACUUCGCUCCUCCCCUCCAUGGGUUCUUUGUUUGACCUUUUCUACUGCAUAUCAUACGUCACUCCAAUUUUCCAGUUAUCCAUUAUAUCCAAAAUCUUUGUUACAUUACAGGAGUUCAAAUGUUUACAGUGGCCCUCCAAAUAUAAUAUAAAUUUCUCCCAUUCUUUAUUAAAAUUUUGGUCCUCCUGAUUUCUGAUUUCCCUGGCCAUUCUUGCCAUUUCUGCAUAGUCCAGUGGAUUGGAUUCUGCCAAUCCACUCUGGAAGGGACCUUGUUGUCUUUCCAGCUCUGGGCUACCAGCAUCCUGGUGGCUGUCAUUGCGUACAUGAAUAGUAAGUUGUAACCCAUCCCUGACCAUUGCACUACUACAGGCUUGGGGAAUCUAUUUCAGCCUGAGCACUGCCUUCGCUUCUGGGAAUUCUUCGGGGGGGGGGGGUCACAUGCCAAUGGCGAGCUGAGCCAGGGGCAAAUGUGGGCUGAGCAACAGAUGUAAAUUUACCUUUCUACCCUGGGAUACUUUCAACACACCUUCAUGUACCUGCCUCUAUCCUCCAGCCAGGAAAGCAAGAAGUAUUAUCACAAUCCAGCUCAAAACAUGCUAGCCUGGUAGGGGGUGUGGUUGGGGAAGGGUGGGGAAGGUUGACAUGGACAUCCGUAUUCAGGCUCUGAGCCGAGUGCUCCUCAACUCUGCAGUAAUAUAUCUUUAGGGAGGGGCUGCAAUAUACAGCACAAUUGAACCCUCUCCCUGUUUGGUCCUUCAAGAUCACACUCCACAUUGUGGAAACACCACACCAGACAAGAGAUGCAUUAAAAUAUAUGUAUCAUCAUUACCUGCAAAAUAGCUCAGUCAGUAGAGCAUAAGACUCUUAACCUUGGGGUUGUGAGUUCUUGCCCCACUUUGGGCUAAAGAUUUCUCCAUUGCAGGGGGUUGGACUAGAUCAGUGUUCCCCAACCUUGAGUCUCCAGCUGAUUUUGGACUACAACUCCCAUCAUCCCUAGCUAGCCCUAGGGUCAGAGAUGAUGGGAAUUGGAGUUCAAAAACAGCUGGAGACCCAAGGUUGCACUGGUCCCGUCCAACUCUACACUUCUAUGAUUCUAUGGUUUUAGUGUGCAUUGCUCCUAAUAUAUACAUUUUCAUAUUCAGAUUUGCCCAGUGUAAUACUUUUAGCAAGUGAUUUCCCCUAAUAUCACACCAUUUUAUGCAUACAUUCUUCUGAUACUUUUUCGUAAGCAUGAUUUGGUUGGAGAACUGCACUGGAAAAAUUCAGAAUUUCAGAGGACAGCUGUGUUUCAGUUUGUGAUUGGUUUGAGAAGUAUGAAUUAGGUAAGUUCUGAUUAGAAUGUGAAUGGAACUGACUUUCUCCCACAUCCCUAGGGCUGUAUCAGAAGAAUUUAUAUCCCUAGAUCUUUCCCCAGCAUCCUGGACGAGACAUCCACUGGCUGCCCAUGGAUAGGGAGAUCUCCAAGGUUUUCUAUUGCUUUGCCCCCUCCUCUCAUCCCAAGGACCAUAGGAAUGCACUCGGAAAGAAAAAUUAAAUGUUGCUACAUUAAAAUAUGGAUAUUUUAUCUAACAGAGGUGAAAGGCAGAAUGAAAUGUCAGGGACAGGAUUUAGACUUGUCAGAGUCAAUCUAGGUCUCUCUUGAUAUAUCCUCUGGAGACUUUUAAAUUAUUGCUAAGAAAGAGCUAUUUCUUUUUCAUUUGUAGAGAACUGCAAAUCAGCAGAGAAUAGAUGACAUCCUUUGCAGAUGAAGAAGAAGGGAAUCUCUGACACUUUCUUUCGUUCUCACUUCAUGCAUUUAAAUAUUACAUAUUACCAGCUCCAAAAGCAAUUGCCUCAUAAAACUGUAAUCUUCCAGUUCAACCCUUUAAAAAUACAUAGUUCGCCUUGUAUAAUCACAGUGUUCUAUAAUAGCAUCAAAUGCAGCAUAUUAGUCAAGUAGGCUACUGAUCUCUUUCUCUCCCUUCCUACGUAUAUCGGCAGGAAGGUAGCCAUAUUACACAUUACAUAAGCACAAGUGCCGAGGUGUGUGUAGCUAGAUUCGAGCUGAAUAGCACCCUUCUUGCUGCAUUGCACAGAGAAAGUCGAGGCAGCUGCAGUCCCAAGGGUGUGCAAUAACCUCCAGCUGCAUACAGAAAAAGGCAGUCAAUGAAAUCCUUAAAUAGGCUGCAAGUAUUUACAGUAUUUGAUGGAGAGAUGAGUUUGUGUGUGUGUGUGUGUGUGUGUGUGUGUGCAUGUAUGUGAAGAAAUAGCCGACUUUCAUUUACAGUGGUACCUCGGGUUAAGUACUUAAUUCGUUCCGGAGGUCUGUCCUUAACCUGAAACUGUUCUUAAGCUGAAGCACCACUUUAGCUAAUGGGGCCUCCUGCUGCCACCGUGCCGCCAGAGCCCGAUUUCUGUUCUUAUCCUGAAGCAAAGUUAUUAACCUGAAGCACUAUUUCUAGGUUAGCGGAGUGUGUAACCUGAAGUGUAUGUAACCUGAAGCCUAUGUAACCCGAGGUACCACUGUACCUGGAAUGCAGUCGACUAGACAAAGGUUAGAUUCACACUCAUUACUCCUCUUAUGCCUCUGGGUCUUCCCACUUUAUCCUCUGAUCACAUCCAGUUUUGCCUCUGGACCCACCUGCAUCUGGUAGGUGGCCCUCAGAAUGUUGUCCAUGAGAAAGGUGUCCAUCAAGCUGAGAACAUUUCCCCAUUCUUACCAUACAGCACUGACCUAGUUUAAUGGUAAUUCCCUUGAACACCUUCUACCACAAAGUACCCAGGUACAUAGCUUUGUGAAUAGCAUGGUGGAUCUCCAGCAGAGAAUCUUCAGCACUCUUCCCUAACUCCAGUUCCCAGGAUUCUUUGGGUGACCAUUUGGCUUAUCCUGAUAUAAAACCAAUAUAAAGUUUUAGACUUGCACACGCCUUUUAUGUUUGUGCUACAACAUUUUCACAAACCAGCCUUCAUACAAAUAGAUAGAGACAAUGCAUACAUUUGCAGAGAGGCUGAUUUCCAAGGAUGGGAACCAAAAUCCCAUCUACUCUUCUGGCAAGAGAGGCCCCUGUAGAAUAUGGCUGUUGGCCCUCUAGCAACAGUUUCCCCAGCAUCAGACCUUCAAUGCAAGGUUAAGCCUGGGAAAUCUUCUUUGGCUUGGGGUGUUGCUAGGUACUUAAAUGAUUUAGUACACAAGACAGACAAAUUUGCAUAACUUUUGCAUAUGCUAAUGUGCAUGUACAGAUGCAGAGGUGGAGGCCACAUGUCACAGAAGUCAAGCCAUCUGAUUUCCCAACCAAAUCUCUCUGGGUAAAUCUUUCAAUGAAUUUGCACCCGAGCCCAAAUGGGUUCCUAUUUGGUUCAUUUACCCAAGUUAAUCUCCCUACAGAUCCUUUUUUAAUCAGACUCAGUUCUCUUUUGGUCAUCUCAAUUCAUUACACCCCAAAUCAUGUCUAGAUAGAUUAAAUCAAUGUUUUCCCCAAAGUAAUAUGCAAUGGAGCAACCACAAGCCCUAAUUUAAUUUUCCCCAAAUUAAUUGCCUGCCCAGAAACAUUUGUGGCAUGCAUCUUAUGAGCCCCCUGCAGUGCCAGGGAAGUCUUCACUGGCUCCUGGUUCUCACCUUCCAUUUGAGCCAAGCAUUGCCAAGCCUCGAGUGCAUCCCCAGGCAAGAGUCCUGCAAACUUCAGGAAAAACAUCCUUAUUGAUUAUUUUGCAGAGAUGCUUUUGCUCUUCUCUGCCCAGGUCCUCGUGGAGGACUCUUGAUCCAUGUAAUAUAGACCUCAUGUGCUUAUGGAAUGACAGAUAUGUGUGAGAGGCAAGACAAGCAUACCGAGAGUACACCAUGAUUAGAUCCCUGAGUCAUCCAAAACUCUUGCCUGAAAGUAUCACGAUUGUGUUGCUAAUGAGCAGAUGUCAUUUAAAGGGAGCACAAUUUGCAACUUGAAUUAAAAAAGAAAAUGUUCGCGCUAUGCAAUAGCUUUUGGACAAUGGAGGAAUGAAUGCACCAACUGAAUCGCAUACAUGAUGAAUCCCGGAUCUCACAAGCAUCGUUUUCAAAUUCUGGAGAUAAGUUUGCAGGUGGUUUGCAAAGCUUUUCAUGCCUUGCAUUAAAAAAAAAAGAAAAAAAGUUUGGCAUUCCAUAUUACUGUUUUAAAGUCAGCCUUUGGUACAGUUUCCUUGCUUUCUUUAUUGCAAAUUUUGAUGGAGAAUUGUGCAAUAAACUUUGCAGCGUGGUUGUAACUUCCUUUCUACUUAGCGCAUUGAUGAUUUGCUGAUCAGUACUUAGCAAUCUGUUAAGCCUGCUUUGCUGGAUUUCAUUUAAUUUGCCUCUUUCACAUAGCCAUUCAAGGUGGUUCUAUUCACCUUCAUUUGAUACAUUGAGUUGGCUUCCACUUUGAUAAACAAGCAAACUAAAUGAAUUAAGGGAAGCUGAAGUGAAUUAAUCAUGAAUUCCAGCUUCACUGAACUAUGUGAGUUAGAACAGAUUACAUUUUAUGCUAACAUUCAGAAUCGUCAGAAUUUAUAUUUAAAAAUUCAUUAAAAAGAAACAAAGAGUUGUGCUUCCUUUUUAAUUAAUGGAUUUUUCAACAGCCUUAUCCACUUCAAGCUGUACUUCGGGCAUGGUGGGCCAAUUUUUUUGUUGAUGCAAUAUGUUGCAGAUUUAUUAAAUGGAGUUACACUGACUUACACAAAUGGAGACUAAAUAAAAUAUACUAGAAUGUUCCAAAUGACUACAAGUAGACAAUAUUUUCAGAAUCUAUACUUAAAUGCCUUGGGUUGUGUCCAAAGUUAGUCAUACUGAGAGUAGACCCAUUGAAAUUAAUGGGCAUUACUAAUUUAACGUCCAUUAAUUUAAAUGGGUCUACCCUACUCUCAGGGACGCAGGUGGCACUGUGGGUUAAACUACUGAGCCUUGGGCUUGCCGAUUGGAAGGUCAGCAGUUCGAAUCCCCAUGACGGGGUGAGCUCCCAUUGUUUGGUCCCAGCUCCUGCCAACCUAGCAGUUCGAAAGCACAUCAAAGUGCAAGUAGAUAAAUAGGUACUGCUCCAGCGGGAAGGUAAAUGGCGUUUCCGUGUACUGCUCUGGUUUCGCCAGAAGCAGCUUAGUCAUGCUGGCCACAUGACCCGGAAAAACUGUCUGCGGACAAAGGUCGGCUCCUCGGCCAGUAAAGCGAGAUGAGCACCGCAACCCCAGAGUUGUUCAUGACUGGACUUAACUGUCAGGAGUCCUUUACCUUUACCUUUACCUUUACCUUUACCCUACUCUCAGUAGAAUUUAGCUGGAUCCAACCUCUUUGUCUGGAAAGCUCAGGUAUAAGUUCUAACAAAUAAACACCUGUGCCAGUCUCCCUUAGGGGAAUGUAUGUGAUGGAUCAUCUACUACAAGUAUGGACAGUUUUAUCCUAAAGUAUCUCCCACUAUGUUUCAUUAACUGUGUUGUGUUCUGAUCCAGGUAUACAAUGCACUUUUUCUAUGCCAGUAAAAGAGAUUGACUGAUUGACAAAAAUAUGGAGAAAGUUCCUCUCAACCCUGAAGUACAAUGUGGGGUGAGCAAAUACCUCAUUGGCAUUGUGCCUGGGUUGCACAGAAUGGUUGGCUGAUCGGGGAGGUGCAGUUUACUGGGAUGGAGAAGGGCAAAGUGGUGGUGAGGGCAGAACAGUGCAAACAGGAACUGGUCUGGCACUCCUUCACCUGCAAUUGAACCACACUGACCUCACAGCUAUCUUGCCCCUCACAACCACUCUCCCUCCCAGCAAGCUGCCAGGACUCUGGAAAAGGGAGGUCGGGCAAGCACCACCACCCUGCGCCACUGACUGCUACAACUCUGAAGUGGUGACAGAGGAAAUAAAUGACUUUUGCUUCUUAUAUGAAGAAGGGAGAUGUGCCUGCUUCCCUGGAGGACAGAAUGCGAGCACAGAAUAUUCUCCACAUUGGGGCAAUUCUUCCCUUCAUAUAAGACCUGGACAUUUAUUUGGAAUGUGCAGUGUUCUGGUGUCUCCCUUGUCACCCCUAUCAUCAUUCUUGUGGGCUCUGUAUCCAUGUGAGAAAUUUACCGCUUGUGGAACUGGGAUGAUUCAUGAUUAAUAGUUUCAUUCUAAGCUCCUAUACCACCAGUCAUGGACAAUACUAAACAGAGAGUUGUUCCGAACCCAAUCCAUCCAUCUGGCAUCUUGAUAUGUUUCAAGACUAGAUAAAGAGGAACAAUGCCUCACAGAUUAAACUCUUUCAGGGGAAGCAUGGAAAGCUCUUUGUCCUGCCUCUGAUCUCCUGCAUAUCAUGGGAGAUUCCAUGUGACACAGGACUGGAAGUUGUCAGAUGGGUGUAAAAUUGGUGUGCCAUUGCAAACCACAUUCAAUGCUGAACCUUGACCAACAUGGUGGGGGAAGUGGACUGACAGGCCAAGGGAGCUGGACGUCAGUAUGGAUGAAGCUCUUUUCUCACAGCAGCUGUACAGUAAUGGUGGGUGCCAUCAUUUGAGCUAGUUGUCUGAGCUGACCCUUUAGAGAUGUCAUGCUGCAUAGCAGCUUCGAGUUAAAUAUGUGAGCUAUAGGGCAUUCAGGAGCUUCCACCAAAGGGAAUGUAUAAUUAGCCAAGAUGGAUAGAUAAUGCAUUGCUCUGUCUCCGGGGCUUGUGGUAGAGAUCAGUGGAAGGAAUUACUCAGGUGAAAUUACUUAGUGGGUGAGGAAAAACUGGUGGAGUGGAUGGAGCUAAUGGUAGGGUAUACCUAAUUACGACGACUCCCCAAACAUUGACUUAAUGUAUAAUUUUGUUGUCAUUCUUGCUAUUGUUUGGGAAUCACCAGGUAAGCCUCGCCUUGCUUUCUUCUCUCCAGAAGUCAAGGGCAGCAUUGUCCCCAGCGUACACUGCUGACCUGCUGUUGACAACCUGCCCUAAAAUGAGUCGUUAUCUAGUCACUUUUCUCAUUGUAUGGUUUAAGAAAGCAUGUCUGAUGCUUCCUUGCUCGGCUUACAUUUCAAUUCAUUCAAGGGAGGAGGGAAAUUCUCCACUCCCACACAUAAGAUCCACAAAGUGGCUUACAACAAGAUAAUAAAUCAGCAACAAUGUAAAAGCAUAUUAUUAUUACUACAAUGGGGGAAAUUGCAAGGACAUCAACAGAAUCUCUGUUCUGUCCUGAUUGUCCAAUGAAAGGUAUGGGUCAGGCGCCUGUAUUGCUCCUUUACUGACUACCUAGAGAGUAGAAGCUGGGUCAAAAUAGGUUUCUCAGAUAAAGUGUGCAUGUGUGCAUUUAUUCAUGAAAAUAACUUAAAAUGAUGCUUUACAUUAGGAAAAUUACUUUGCAAUGUUGAGUAUAUAAGGCAUAUGAAAUUGCACACAAAACCUCAAUUGAAAUUUGCAGUGAAAUGCUUUUGAAUUUUCAUGAGGACUUAAAAAAACCACACACUGACAUGGAAAUGUGAGAACUGUGCUUAAGACUGAAACAAUGACAAACAGAGAGAAACUAAAGUUGACAAAUUCACCCAUUUCUGCUUGGAGCCUGCUUAGUUUGUUCCAUGGGACCUGCUGACAGCUUAGUUGCCUUCUUACUCACACAGCCCCACCCAGCAUUUGCCCAGGUUUUUAGGGAGGCCUAAAGUAAACAGUGAUAUUUUAUUUUCAUUUCUGCUGCCUGUCUUAUUUGUGUCUGCUAUUAAUCUUAUGAAGCUGAAUGAUUUAUUUUGUAGUAGGGUUUUGUUUUGUUGUUUCUUUUCUUUUUCUUUUAAAAAAACAUUGUUAAUUGUGAUAUCUGAUAUUAUCUGCCUACCUGGCACUACCAAGCAAAAUACAAACUGCAACUACCGGGUGGAGGGUGGUGUUGGCACUGCAUGCCAACCCCAAAUAACAAGGUUGAAUUAAGGGGAUUGGGGGGGGCAGGAUCUCCCAUUCCCUGUCAUCGGUAUGUGAGACCUUCAGAGCGACCACUCAAGGAGCACAUUGCAGACUGCACUAACAGGAUGAUAAUAUGCCACAAAUUAGGAAGCUUUGUGUAAACCAGCACUUGUUUCAAGUAUUGGUUUAGUGCUCAGGGCAGAGGCAGGUUUUUCAGGCUUUGCUGUGUUUUGAAUCAAAUAAACGAUUUAAUUAGGUUAGCUAAGGAACGAGAUGGGGUAGUGGAUUUGGCAAGUGUGCUAAAGCCCUUGAGGGCAGGUGCUGAGUACCAUCACAUACUGUUCAUGCUGAUUUGAACUUAGGGCACCCAGCACCAUGCAGGCAGGAUCAGACCUAAGGCAAAUAAGGAGCUUUCUCUUGUAUAUGGUUAGCUGGUUUUAAAUUUGAUACCUUCUUCCAAUAUAGAUACAAUAAAAUGAAGUCCCCCUGCCCCUUGCACUACGUAAAUGAUAUCAACCUGGGUUUGCUAGUUUACAUCCAAUUGUGUGACACUGUAAAUGUGUCUUGAUAAGUAAGGUGAGGGGAUGCUCACAAAAUUUGCAGAUCACACCAAACUGGGAGGGAGGGACCUAAUGCUGCCGAAGACAGGGUUAGGAUUCAAUAUGACCUGAAACCCAACUGUCAUUCCAUUGUCUGGAGAGGACACUUCCUGGUUCGCAUGGAGAAGCCAUUUUCAAUGCAGCCCAGCAAUGGAAGCAUGCAGCUGUAUUGAGGCAGCACCGGGUAUUGAAAAUUUGCACCCCUAGGAGCUUUGUGUCUGAAGCAACUGCCUUUGUGCUCCCCAUGCUGGCGUGUUGCUACUGAUAGCCCUUGUGGAAAGAUAACUGCCCAGGUAGGAGAAGUGAUUGACAUUUUCCAAUGUUACACUAUUGAUUAUCGUCUUCCAAAGCAACUACUCUAUUCUGAACUUAAAAAUGGAAAGCGUAAUGCUGGUGGUCAACAAAAGAAGUUUAAAGACUGUUUCAAGGCAAAUCUUUAAAAAUGUAGUAUAAACACCAACAAUUGGGAAACAUUUGCCUGCAAGCGCUCCAAUUGGGGAACAGCCUUUACCAAAGGUGUCAUGGACUUUGAAGACACUCGAACUCAGGACGCAAGGGAGAAAUGUGCUAAGAGGAAGGCACGCUUGGCAAACCCUCACAGUGAUCAACUCCUGCCCGAAAACCAAUGUCUCCACUGUGGAAGGACGUGUGGAUCCAGAAUUGGCCUCCACAGUCACUUACGGACUCAUUGUUAAAACAGUGUUUAUGGAAGACCAUCUUACUCAGCUAUGAGUGAUUGCCAAAGAAGAUUGAUAGCCUUCUUCUCCUUGACUUUGUCCAACCUUCUUUUAAAGCCAUGCAAGUUGGUAGCCAUCACAGCCUCUGGUGGGAGACAGUUACCUAGUUUAACAUAGUUUAAAAUGGUUUCCCUCCACAUAGUGUUUGCCAUAUGGAAUCCACACAGGUAUCCUUGGAUUGGGGCCAGUGUGUUUAGACAUGGGGCCUCUAUAUACUGCCACUAUCACCGAGGACACUUUAAAAAGAGAUAAUAGAAAAUGUAUUCCUUGGUGCAUUAGUAUAAUUUGGGCUAUUCCACAGUGCAGCACUUUGUGCUUAUUAAGAAAUGACUUUCACCUGCCAUCCUGCCCUCUCCCCAUUCUCUUUGUGGUCUUUCUCUUAUUAAAGGGAAUUUAAUUUUUCCUUUCAUUAUCUUUAUUUUCUUCCAGAGGAUUAUAACGAUUAUAAAUUCUCCUCAAUGGGAUGAACCAGAGCUACAAGCAACGACUGAUUUCAAAUUAUUUCAUUUUUGUGAGGCGAGGAAUACAC
rnacentral:lncRNA from 1 species